CCCGAAAUAUCGAAUGAGGAGACUCAUCGUCAGCGGGGUUGGCUUCCAUGCGGGUCAGCGAUGAUGACGGAAUUUAUUCUCAGAUUCACGCACUCGCUGUGGUAUGUUCGACUUCGUCGGCGUGCACUUCUCCUCUAGUAGAACGUCGCGACCCGCUGGGGUGUCGGUUUAAGGGCCAAGAUCGUCGACUGUUUCGUUCGUUCGCGUACGGCAACAGACGCUUGGACUCCCGACCGGCUGCUCGGCGGUACUCGCAAGGUAUCGAGCCGCACUAUUUUGAAUGCGUUCAGACUCGUUGCAAGACCGACCAUUUACCUGGAGCACGGACCCAGUGCCGUUCCCGGGGGUGGUUAGCUGUUGGUUGACGAUGUUCUCGAACCGGCUGAAUUUGAACUUGAAACGAUACCGGUCAGCGACGCUAUUGCUUUGGGUACUUUCAGGACCCGUCUUGAAACACGGACCAAGGAGUCUAACAUGUGCGCGAGUCAUUGGGACAUUAAAACCUAAAGGCGCAUUGAAAGAGAAGAUCGACCUUGCGUCGAUUGAGGGAGGAUGGGGCGACGUCUUGAUGUCGCUCCCGCACUCCCGGGGCGUCUCUUAAAGUCAUCGCGACUUGAGGCGCACCCAGAGCGUACACGUUGGGACCCGAAAGAUGGUGAACUAUGCCUGGUCAGGACGAAGUCAGGGGAAACCCUGAUGGAGGUCCGUAGCGAUUCUGACGUGCAAAUCGAUCGUCGGAACUGGG
rnacentral:rRNA from 1 species